AUUCAUAUAUUAAGACAAUCAUACUUCAAUCUUGAAAACUUGGAUUAAAAACAACAAAAUUCAGACCAUAAUUCGAAUGGAAACAGAUCCAAAACAAAAAGAUAGGCUGAUAUAACCUAUUGCAUCCACUAACUACCACAAAACCCAAAUCACUGUUUUGAUGUAAACCAUCUAGCGCAAUCUUCUUGCUUCCCUCUCAGAUUCGAGUAGGGUGAGAAUGUCUCCUUCUCUCACAGGUCCUUUCACAUUCCUCAUGAUGUGACGAUUCUGAUCAUCCAAAAACUUCACUCUAACCUGGGUCACCUGCCCUCUGGAUCCAGUACGACCCAUAACUUUAACAACAAGAGCAUGCUUCACCUGAGACUCCAUCCUGCUCACACACAAACAAAGCUUUUGAGAUGAAAGUGGACACAAUUAGGUUUAUUGUAUGACAGAUAAACCACAAUAAUCCUAACAGAAAGUAAAAAUUGAAUACAUGCAAACUGACAUGAAAUGCCAAAAAUAUAUCCACAGAUUCACAUAAAAGCACACGACUAUACCUGUGAUUAGAUAAAGAAUAAAUAAAUAUUAACAUCACGCACACAGGAAAAAAGAAAAUCUAGUCCAGCAAUAAUAUAAAUAACAAAUUUUCACCAAAUAUAUGUACGCUUUGUUCCACAAAUUAUACAUAAGACCCACCAAAUAUAUGUAGGCUUUCGUUGGAGGAGGGCUAAACGAAUAUUAAAUUCAACAUGAGAUCCACCAAACAGUUGACGAUUUGGAACAGUAAAUGAUUUCCGACGGUCAAAUUUUCAAAUGAAGAAGAUUAAGGAAUAUAACAAAUGACAAAAAGUAUAUAAAUGGAUAAAUCCAACUGAGCAUUUGUUAAACCAUUCGGGUAUACGCUAAUUUACCAAACAAGCCACAAACUUGCCUAAAAAAGUAUAGAAUCAGUCAAAACUAUGUGAUCCCCAAUCGAGAACAAAAAAUCAACCACAAAUUCCAUGUCACGUAGAAGACAAUAAUUCCGGAAUGAGGCCGCAAACGCAGUAACAGAUAACAAUACACUUCACCGUAUUUCAAAACUCAAAUUAAGAAAAGCAAAUCAUAAAAAAAUUUCAAAUCACGCAAACGGGAAGCUAUUGAAGCAAGAGAAAUACAUAAAAAAAUAACUAAUUAGAGAAAAGGGAAGAGUUGUUGAUAUAAAUCGAUAAAUCGAUAGGGCGAGUUCUCACCUGAAGUAGAAGACGAGUGAAGGAAGUGGCUAGGGUUUUGCGAUGCCUGCUAACACUAUCACG
rnacentral:lncRNA from 1 species